UGGGGAAUCUUGCGCAAUGCGCGAAAGCGUGACGCAGCAACGCCGCGUGGGGGAAGAAGGCUUUCGGGUUGUAAACCCCUUUCAGAUGGGACGAGGCUUCGCCGGUGAAUAGCCGGCCGGAGUGACGGUACCUUCAGAAGAAGCACCGGCUAACUACGUGCCAGCAGCCGCGGUAAUACGUAGGGUGCAAGCGUUGUCCGGAAUUAUUGGGCGUAAAGAGCGUGUAGGCGGCCCCGUUAGUCCGCUGUGAAAGUCCAGGGCUCAACCCUGGAAUGCCGGUGGAUACUGUGGGGCUAGAGUCCGGAAGGGGCGAGUGGAAUUCCUGGUGUAGCGGUGAAAUGCGCAGAUAUCAGGAGGAACACCAAUGGCGAAGGCAGCUCGCUGGGACGUGACUGACGCUGAGACGCGAAAGCGUGGGGAGCAAACAG
rnacentral:rRNA from 1 species